rnacentral:rRNA from 1 species
GGGGGGAGCAAGCGUUGUUCGGAUUUACUGGGCGUAAAGGGCGCGUAGGCGGCCAGCACAAGUCAGUUGUGAAAUCUCCGAGCUUAACUCGGAAAGGUCAACUGAUACUGUGCGGCUAGAGUGCAGAAGGGGCAACUGGAAUUCUCGGUGUAGCGGUGAAAUGCGUAGAUAUCGAGAGGAACACCUGCGGCGAAGGCGGGUUGCUGGGCUGACACUGACGCUGAGGCGCGAAAGCUAGGGGAGCGAACGGGAUUAGGUACCCCGGUAGUCCUAGCCUUAAACGAUGAAUGCUUGGUGUCUGGGGUUAUAAAGUCCCCGGGUGCCGUCGCUAACGCUUUAAGCAUUCCGCCUGGGGAGUACGGUCGCAAGACUG